rnacentral:pre_miRNA from 1 species
UCUUGUGGAUGAGCCAAGAAAGUGGUUUUUUGAGAUGGAAUCCGCUCCUGGUGAAGAUGCUGUGAA